UACGUAGGGUGCGAGCGUUAAUCGGAAUUACUGGGCGUAAGCGUGCGCAGGCGGUUAUGUAAGACAGAUGUGAAAUCCCCGGGCUCAACCUGGGAACUGCAUUUGUGACUGCAUAGCUAGAGUACGGUAGAGGGGGAUGGAAUUCCGCGUGUAGCAGUGAAAUGCGUAGAUAUGCGGAGGAACACCGAUGGCGAAGGCAAUCCCCUGGACCUGUACUGACGCUCAUGCACGAAAGCGUGGGGAGCAAACGAGG
rnacentral:rRNA from 1 species